UUUUACAGCAGCUACAUCCAU
rnacentral:miRNA from 1 species